AACCAUAGAAACCUGCGGAGUACCUGCGGAAGGAUCAUUACCGAGUUAUGCAACUCAUCAACCCCUGUGAACUUACCUACAACGUUGCUUCGGCGGGAACAGACGGCCCCGUAAAACGGGCCGCCCCCGCCAGAGGACCCCUAACUCUGUUUUUAUAAUGUUUUUCUGAGUAAACAAGCAAAUAAAUUAAAACUUUCAACAACGGAUCU
rnacentral:misc_RNA from 1 species